rnacentral:lncRNA from 1 species
AUAUGAUUUUACACGUUUGAGAUCCCCUUGCUCUCUUUUCCUUUUGAUGCUAGUAACUUCCUGGUUCUUCUAGCACUUCAGCCACUGAAAUAUCAUUCUGCAUAUUUUCACCAUCUUGUAACUUCAUCAAUGGUAGCUAUCACACAACAUAGAGAUGAGAUGUUAAAGAAAACCAUCUAUAUGUCAAGGAAGCAAAUGAACAACAUUCAGUAUAAUCAGGCACACCUUAGAUAGUUAGAUAUAUCGACUCUUUAUCAAGAAUGUCUGACAAACUUUGUGCUUCAUUGUAAAGAUCAUGCCCCUGCUCAUCCAGAUGGCCAUCGUCACCAGCCUGAUCUGCCAGAUAAGAAUGCUUGAUAUCAUUAAACAAAAUAUUAAUUUAUGGGCAAGGAAGAAUAUAACAGCUAUGAGAAAGAAAUCUCUAGAAAUAAAUAAUUAAUGCAAGGAAUAGGGAUAUUAAUAAUCGAGUUUACCGUGAAUUGUCUGUCAGAGUAGGUAUUUGAAGCUGAUCGGGUUGUAGGAAUACACAAACAAUAGACAGAGAGUGGCAAAGGUACUGAUAAGGUCAACAAUGUUUACAUAUAUAAAAUCUAUCAAUCUGUCUGGGUGUUCCAGAAUGAGGAGUAACCCUCCCAACUAUAAUAACAGAAAUUUAAAGGACACUUUGCAUGUCUACGCAAUCAAAGAUGCAAGCAUACAAGAACUAACGGUACUCUGAAUGCAACAUAUGCAGGUAGAACAACACAUCAUAUAAGAUAAAAAUAAGUAGAGAAAUAUCUAUCACAUAUAGUAAUUAAAUGGUGAUAAAUUACAUGAAAGCUAGAAAUUACAGAUAUAAUAAUAGCUAUAGAACCUGGUGUAACCUGCAAGAU